rnacentral:lncRNA from 1 species
CCGCACGAACUUCGCAACACGGCCGUGGUCCAUCAAGGUUUUCUCAUCGAAUCCAAUCCAAACUCGAGUCAGUUAAGGACUACCACUACGACUCGGACUACGUCCAAGAGAUCCCUUUAUUAGGCCCAGCUCAAGGCUUAGUAAUUACUUCAACCCCACAGGGAAGAUUCAUUUAUUGGCCUGGAAUGAAGCCAUCUUUCCUAGCCCAAGAUCAUGAGUCACACCUUGUCGCUCACAUAGACAACCUCC